rnacentral:rRNA from 1 species
GAUGAACGCUGGCGGCGUGCCUAAUACAUGCAAGUCGAGCGAACGGACGAGAAGCUUGCUUCUCUGAUGUUAGCGGCGGACGGGUGAGUAACACGUGGAUAACCUACCUAUAAGACUGGGAUAACUUCGGGAAACCGUAGCUAAUACCGGAUAAUAUUUUGAACCGCAUGGUUCAAAAGUGAAAGACGGUCUUGCUGUCACUUAUAGAUGGAUCCGCGCUGCAUUAGCUAGUUGGUAAGGUAACGGCUUACCAAGGCAACGAUGCAUAGCCGACCUGAGAGGGUGAUCGGCCACACUGGAACUGAGCCACGGUACAGACGCCUACGGGAGGCAGCAGUAGGGAAUCUUCCGCAAUGGGCGAAAGCCUGACAGAGCAACGCCGCGUGAGUGAUGAAGGUCUUAGGAUCGUAAAACUCUGUUAUUAGGGAAGAACAUAUGUGUAAGUAACUGUGCACAUCUUGACGGUACCUAAUCAGAAAGCCACGGCUAACUACGUG